GAUGAACGCUGGCGGCGUGCUUAACACAUGCAAGUCGAACGAAGCAUUUGCGACAGAUUUUUUCGGAAUGAAGUUGCUUAUGACUGAGUGGCGGACGGGUGAGUAACGCGUGGGUAACCUGCCUUGUACUGGGGGAUAGCAGCUGGAAACGGCUGGUAAUACCGCAUAAGCGCACAAUGUUGCAUGACAUGGUGUGAAAAACUCCGGUGGUAUAAGAUGGACCCGCGUCUGAUUAGCUAGUUGGUGAGAUAACAGCCCACCAAGGCGACGAUCAGUAGCCGACCGGGGGGGGGAACCGGCAACAUUGGGACGGGGACCCGGCCCAAACUCCAACGGAGGGCAGCAGGGGGGAAUAUGGCAAAAUGAGGAAACUCUGAUGCAGCGACGCCGCGUGAGUGAAGAAGUAAUUCGUUAUGUAAAGCUCUAUCAGCAGGGAAGAUAGUGACGGUACCUGACUAAGAAGCUCCGGCUAAAUACGUG
rnacentral:rRNA from 1 species